rnacentral:rRNA from 1 species
UGGGGAAUUUUCCGCAAUGGGCGAAAGCCUGACGGAGCGAUGCCGCGUGGAGGUGGAAGGCCUACGGGUCGUCAACUUCUUUUCUCGGAGAAGAAACAAUGACGGUAUCUGAGGAAUAAGCAUCGGCUAACUCUGUGCCUG